UCACCCUGUGCAUCGAGGGCAUCUGUUUAUCAUGGGUGUCAGUGUCUUCAGAGAAAGAAAUCUUUCAGUGGCUGGGGAACCUGAGGAAGGGGAGGAUCCCCAGGCAUGAGUGUGACCAGAAAACCUGGCAGCAUCCCAUUACCUUCAUGCUUUCAGCCUUGCCAACAGCUUUCCCUAUCCUGGCCCCUGCCCAGUCUCUGACCUGCAUACAACAAGUGCCCCACGCAUGUGUACUCAGCUAUAAACCAAGGAAGCUUGCCCACCCACCUCGCCUACUUCCCGGGCUGCUGCUAAAAUAAAA